ACCCUAGAAUAGCCGCUGCCUGAUUUUCGUUCCUUCUUGCAUUAAAAACCCUAGACCCUUCGCGUUAUAAAUAGUGCGAUAUUCUCCACACUUCACAUCAGUCACUAACCUAGCUCUCAGCAAACAUGGCUGUGCCGCUUCUCACUAAGAAGAUCGUGAACAAUAGGGUUGAGAAGUCAACACUCGCAGAAUCUGCGUUAAGGAAAACUGUUGCAGACACAAAUGGAUUGAUUCUCGUGGUAGGAGGAAAUUAAAGGAUGUACUUUAAUUCCUAACAUUGGUUAUGGUUCUGCCAGGAUUCUGAUAGCAUCUUCCAUAUGGUGACAAGAAAUUUAUUGUUCACAAUGUUGGUAACUUGAAGCUAUCAAUGAUGCUCAACAGUUUAGUGAUGUCUUCCCAAAUUGGAUUUUUGAAGUUGCUGCUUUGUAUCUAAUGUCUGACCCUUGAUUUAUGUGUUGUUUUAGGUCUUAAUGUGCCGAUAUUGCACACAAUGUAUCCACCAAAAGAGAGACUCAUAGUUGAGAGAGCUGCGCAACUUAAUGUUUUGCUUUUGCAAACAAAACAGCCGCUUAGAAGCUAUAAUAGGAACGAAAGUUUGGAUCAUUUGGAACUUACUGAUUUUUGUUGUGACUUACAAUUCUGAUGUAUCUUUUUUGCCUUAAAUGAAGUAUAAUUCAUAUGAUUAUGUUGUUGAUAUGUCGAUUUAGUCUCAAUAUAUGUAUUGUUUUUAGAAGUAUUAAAAAUGUGAACCUACACUAUCGAAUGAUAUUCGAACUUAUUUAUUAACGGA